CAAGGAUGUCACCCCUAACGAGCCACCUACUGACAAUGUGAUGAGGAGAAAAGCCCAUGACCUACCUGAGCCUGAAUUGCUCAACUGCCACCCAGCGGUAAUAACACCACCUACCUCACAGGAUAUUUUGUUGUCAAACUAAAUGAGACGGUGGAUUACAGCAUGGUUUGUGAAUGCUAAGCACUGCGUGAUAGCAGUUACUGUCACUCCCAAGUACGAUCUUAAGCUCAUAAAACGAGUAGAUAAGAAGAAGAGAAAGGUGAACAACUCUCAAACAGACACUUUCUCAAUCAGGAAUGAUAAGGCUGAAACCUGGAAAACAUCUUACCCAUCUGAAAAUCUUCCAUUAGCACAUGUCUACAACAGAAAGGGAAAAAGGAAAACGUCUUUUAAAUGUGAUAAAUAGGAUUUGGUUUAUAUUCCACUAAUUGAAAUGGCCAAAUUCAACAGCAAAUGGAAACAAAAACUUUGUUUUUAAAACUGUAUGGUUUAUACGUCAAAAUAAUUUGUAUCAGACUAAACCUUCAAUGGAAAGCAAGUAUAAAAGAUGGCUAAAACACCUGAAACUGGUAUUUGGAGUCACAAGAGAUCAAAUAAGCUAUCCAAAACUUGAGGGACUAAAUUCCAGAGAGAGAACUAAACACACGUGUGCAUGGGAGGUAGUGUGGCCAUCAGCCUCCACUUUUUACCCUCAUACCAUUUUCUGACUCACUGCACAAGAAAAGAGCCAAGCUGAACACAGUGGCCUGGAAUGGGCAAUAGCCUCACCGAAGAUGAUUGAUUGAUUGAUUGAUCCAUAACUGAAUUUAAGAACUCCACUGAUGAGCUGAAUAGCAUAUUAAAAUGAGCAAAAAAGAUCAUUAAUAAACGGGAAGAUAGAUACGUACAAGUGUCCAGACUGAAUCAUGAACAGAAAAAUGGAAGAAAAACACAGAAAACAUGCAUAAGAUACUAAAGCAUGAUUAAAUGUUCUAACAUAUAUAGAGUGAGAAUCUCAGAAUGAGAGGGGAGAGCAUGGAAUGCAAGCGAUACUGAAGGCACAAAUUACCCACAUGGGAAAUGAAAGAGAUACUUACAGAUACUGCAGAUACUUAAGACCACAAGAGACUACAAACAAUAUCAUGUCCAUGGGUUGGAUGCCAUGUGUCCCCCAACUGAUCUAAAGAUUCAAUGCAAUCGUAAACAACAUUACAGAAAUUCUCUGCAAAUUUACUAAGGUGUUUUAAAAGGUACAUGGAAGAGCAAAAUCCAAGAGUAGCAGACAGUUUUAGAGAGCGAUGUUGGAGGACUUACACUAGGAGAUGUCAAGACUAACUAUAAAUUAUAACAAUUAACAUAGUGCCUUAUGGGCACAAGGAGAGACAACAAGUCAACAGAACUGAGACCAGAAACUAAUGCACAUGUGUUGGUCACAGAAUUUCCAGUGCAUUGUAAACAGUUUAAGCAAUCCUGUGAAUAAAUGAUGUUGGAUCAUUGGGUAUCUACGUGGAAAAAAGAUCCCUACCUUAUACCAUAAACGCAAAUAAUAAUCAGUUCCAGUUGGAUCACUGAUGUGACGAUGAAAGACAAUAAAGCUUCUAGACAUUAACACAAGAGAGUAUAUUUAUGAUCUUAGUGUAAAUAAAGAUUUCUUCACACAGAGCACAGAAAGAGCUAACCAUAAAGAAAAUUUUUGAUAAAUUUGAUAUUACACUUAAGAACAUCUAUACUUGAAAAGAUACCAUUCUAAGAGUGAGAGAGGCAAGUCACCAAAUGUGAAAAGAUAUCUGCAACACAUAUUUCCAACAAAUAGCUUAUUUUCAAAAUAUACAAAGAAAUAUUACAAAUCCAUAAGAAAAAAUGACAACCCAGUUUUCAAAAACUGGAUUAAAAAUUCCUGAAUGAGUAUUUUUUUAAUCCAAAUUGCCUAAUAAGCAUAUGAAAAGACGUUUAGCAUUAUUCAUCAUAAGGAAAAUGAGAUACCACUACAUAAUCACAUUUUUAAUGACAAUACCUAGUUUUAGUAAGAAUUUAAGUCAUCUGGAACACUAUCAGUAGGAGUAUGAGCCAGUAAAACCAUUACAGAAACCAUUUUGUCAACAUUCAUCAAAGCUGAGCAUAUGCAUCCCUUUUAUCCAACAGUUCCAGGACACACCAAGCAUUAAAAAUAUGCACAAAAGACAUGUAUAAGAAUGUUCACAGCAGCCUGAGGCAUAAUUUCCCAAAGCCCCAAACCACCCAAACAUCCAUCUACAAUAGAACGGGUAAAUUGUGGUAUAGUCUUUCAAUAAUACAUCAGGGGUCGGCAAACUACAGCCUGUGGGUCAUAUCCAGCUCUGCCCAUUAACAGGAUCGUCUACAGCUGCAUUUACACUGCAAAGGCAGAGUUCAGGAGUUGCAACAUAGACCAUAUGGCCUACAUGGCUAAGUGUUUACUGUCGGCCUCUGCUGUACAGCAAUGAAAAAGAAUGCACUAUUACUGCUGUUACACAACAGGACGAACCUCAGAGACAUCAUCUGGUGGGAAAAAGCCAUGCAUGAAAGAAGAAAGAAGGCAUGUUAUGAUUCCAUGUAUACAGAGAGUUCAAACACAAACAAAAUGAAUCGAAGUCAGAAGUGAUGACAGAUGCCAGAACGAUGGGUCCAUUUGGGGAAACACAAUAACUUGAAAGAGCAAUGGUGCAGCUUGAGCCCCUCCUCUAAACUUGACUGUCUCACUGAAAAGCCAGAAUGAAGCAAGCAGGUGUGGGUACUGGAGAGAAGAAGUACCCACACCCGAGUCCAUCCUCCCUCCCACAUCACAGAGGCCAAGGGCAAAUCCCUCAGAGCAUCAGACCACACUCUGGCCCCCCAAUUGGGAAGACAAAAGGAGACAAAAUCAAUCGCUCCAUAGCUGCUGGGCAGUUCAGACAGAAAACCCGUCAUGUAUUUCCUCUGAUCCCUAUAGGUUUUAACGUCCUCAUAUUUGAACAGUAGGGGGUAGAAAUGACUUACAAAAGUCUAAACUAAAUAGAGUGUUUUAAUGUCAACUAAAAGAAUACGUCCACCCGAAAUCCACCUCUUGAUUCAGAAUGAGUGAAUGGAAUUGCUUGAAGCUCCUAAGAGUAUUGAUUUGGGACCAAUAAUUAAAAUCUAAUGGAGUUAAUCAGUUUCACAUAGAACUAUAAAUUUUAUCCAAAGACAUGAUAAAUCGCUGAAUAAGAAUAUCCAACUGCCCAUCUACUCAAUUUUUAAAAAUUCAGAUUUCAUUUUCUGACUGUUAUUCAUUUUAACUGAGAAAUACUCAUACCAGCUGAAGUGCUGGACAUUUUCUUCUGAGAAGGGAGGGAAAAGACAAUCAUUUGGUUCUUUAUGGGGGUCAAAUUAUACAUCAAAUAAAAUAUGAAGUUCCUUCGCCAGAUACAUUUCAUAAAGUUAAAUGGUUCUUUCAGGAUUAUGCUGACAAUAGAGUCUUCAGUCUUUGUUAUAAUAUAGUCGACGACCUCACUAAUAAGGAUAAUAAUGUAUCAUCAAAAAAUGCUGUUAAUUGAAAACUGUAAGUCUAAUUAACCAGGGAUGUGACCAUGCAUAACGUAUUAUUAAUAGAAUGAAAAGAUUGCAUUACACCCACUGCU
rnacentral:lncRNA from 1 species